CUGCCUGCCCAAAACCCCAUAACCAAUUUCCAAAAUUCUUUUUCUAGAUUAGAUUUGCCAAAUGGGAAAAUCAGCGAAUCAUCAAAUCACAACAAUUUACUUCCCAUUUAAUAUCACUCAACACCACCUUCCCUUCUUAAUCAUUUUGAUUUUCAUUCUCAUCUCUAGAGAGAGAAACUCACACAGAUUUUGAGAGAGAGAGAGAAACACCAACAUAGGGAUCUCUCUCCUUUUCUCGUACCUGUUCAUCUUAAAAACUAGAUUAUGUUCUUCCUUUUAUCGCUAACACAGUUGUUUGAUUAAUUGAUUAUGUUUGAAUUUUGGAUAAUUUGACGAAAUCGAGUUCGUUGAGCUGAAGAUUUUCACGAUUUGGUCGAGGACGAGAAGAACAAACCCUACCUUGUAAGGUUAGCUUGCUAACUGCAAAAGUCUGAGGUCACAUGUUUUUCUUAAUUAUUGAUUUCUCAUUUUUUUGGAGUUGACAUGUUCAAGUAAGUUCUGUCCUCCUUGAUCUUUUACAUAAAAGUUGUUAGUUUUAAACAUUAUGUUAUAAUGGUUAAUAUAUUUCUUAUAUGAAACCAUUUGGUAGACAACCUUUUUGUGUCAUGCUCUGCAGUGAUAGGUAACAUCCAUUAUCAGGAAAUAUCUCACCCCUCUCUGCAGCAGUAGCUUCUGUUUGUAUGUCAGUUGCUGCAUUCUUGACGACUGCAUUUUGUGCGAUUCUUUUGGGGUACAAGCUGAGCAAAAGAAUUAUGUGCUAUGGAAAGCAAAGAAACUAAAAAAGUUGGGACGUGGGAGAAGGCCUUCAUUCAGUUGGUAGAGUGAAGUUGCACUUGCUGCUGAUUGAACAAGGAGGGCUUAGAGCACUCUUGGGCAUGGAAGAGAGUUGAAGCAGACGUAGUGUCGGAAUCAGUUUGGUCUCACAUGAAAUCAAACUCCCUUAGACGGUGGUUAUUUUGGUCAAUUUAUCAUUGCCUAAAAGACUGAAUUGUGAUUUUUGUACAUUUCCGGCGUAAUUACCUCCUAAAUUUUGCCGUAAUAUUUGCAAUAACAGUGAAGUUGCACUUGCUGCUGAUUGAACAAGGAGGGCUUAGAGCACUCUUGGGCAUGGUUAGAUCUGGAUAUAACGAUGUCAUCGCUCAGGUUUCCAAGGGAAUUGCAAAUUUCGCAAAAUGCGAAUCUUGAGCAAUAUCUCAAGGACACAAGAAAGGUCGUUCUCUUCGAAUGGAUGGCGUCCCUUCGUGGUUUCUUGCAAAGUCGAUUACUGCCUCAAUAUCAACCAGACGUCACAGCUUGCUCUUUGUCAUUAAGCACACAAUGGUACACAUAUUUCCUUUUAUAUAUUUUGUUCUUUUAUUACAUGAUCUUUCCUUUGAUGUUUCAGUAGAAUACUAUAUGAUGUACACUUGUGUUGGUCUUCGAGACCCCACUAAUAACAACGAGCUUGUGUUAUCACUCGGUAGCAGUUUACUUAGUACAUGGUUGAUUCAAGGUACUACAUCAUUAUUUAAUACUACUGCAUUAUAUAUAAGCCAGCAAACCUAAAUAUAUGAGAGGUAAACAUCCUUUAAUUUUCAUUUAAGCCGCCUUAUGUUAGUGCUUCUCAUUUGCAGCUCAAAAAUCUCAAUCUGAACAGGUUGAGAUUUUUUAGCCGGAAAUGAGAAGCACUAACAUAAGGCCGCUUAAAUGCAAAUUAAAAGAUGUUUACUUUCCGUAUAUUCAGGUUUGCUGCCUUAUAAAUAAUACAUGGAUUUUAAAUAAUGAUGUAGUACCUUGAUUAAACUCACACCAUAUAAAGUGGAAGGAAUCGUCCUGCAGCAACCAAUUCUUUCGUGGAAUUGAACAAAUCAUUAUCACAAAUACGAGGAGCUAUGCAGAUAUCUCAUAAGUUACUCGGUUUACCAUUCCAUUUCUAUACUUCUAAAUCUAGCUUAGAUAUGUUCGCUUCUAACUACCUGUUUUGCGUUUUGAAGUGAAAGUUCAUUUCUUUUUGUAUGUUGUAGUUUGUAUAACGCGGUAUUUGGAUGUUGUUGUUGCCGUUGCCUCUGCUGUCGCUGCCGCCGCCGCUGCUACUACAUGUUUGCUUUUUUACUUUCGCUAGUUAAACUUUAAUGAACAUAGAUGUAUGAAUAUUAAAAAUGUUUUCUGAUAGGAAUACAUAUGCCAUUGUCUGUAUAUAGUUACAAGUAAUCGUUGUCUUCUUUGCGUGCUAUUGAGAGUGAUUAUUCUUUGGUAUGCAUCUUUUUUUCAAUGGGUCAAGAAA